GAAAAUGUUUCACCGGUGGAAGUAGAGGGGAUGAAAUGAACCAAAGCAAAGGAAUGGAUCUGAUUGAAGUAUAAGGAGCCACAUUUCUUAUCAAGUGGUCAGAAAUGGCAGCUAAAGAGAUUAAAGAUUAAGAAUUGAAUUGCAAGUUGUAUAACUAGGAGGCAGAAGACACCAUAAACUGGAAGUGGCAAAAAUUUUAAAAGGAGCUUGUUUGGCAAGCAAAACAAUGAGUAACUUUUAGACUAUUGAGUAUAAAAUGGUUGUGAUAUUCAGAUGUUGUGAUAUUAUAUGAGGUUAAAAGAGAAAAGAACCAAUUAAGAAAGUACCUAUGGAUAAUGGUGGACACAGGGGCAGUGACAGAUGGCAUUACCGAAAGAUUGUUGAGAGAAAAGAAGACUAAGAUUAAAAAAAUAUGCCAUUCCACUCCAUCAGGACCACCACCACCACCACCAACAGCAACACCCUAAGAGACGGCCUACCUUUUACAAAGGAGGAGAGACUAUAAAAGAACCAGAGAUACUGAAAGGGAGGAGGUACCCUUAUGUCACAAGCUCUAAGGGAGAAAAUUUCAAGGAGGAUCGGUCAUCAGUGCAAAUUGUGACUAAGAAGUUUAGAAGGAAGAGGAUCGAGCAGUUAUUACUGGAUCUGGUGAUGAGCAGAGGAGCAAGCUUUCAGAAGGUAGUAGUGGUAGAUUUAGACAGCAAGUUGGACUGUGAGGCAACAAGAAGAACAAGUGAAGGACAAAGUCUUAACAGCUUAUAAAAUUCGGUUUGAUGACAGCCAGAGACUUUCAUAAUUCUAAGACACCUGAGCUUAUGAAAAGUUGUCCAGGCACAAGUGCUAAAGAACAGCCAAUGGAAUAACUACUGUACAGAGAAAGAACCAAGAAAAGAAGCUUAGCCUGCCACUGAGACAAAUGAAUCCUUAGGUGGACCAACUGACUUGAUUUCUAUUUUUCAAAAUGGUGCUGUCAAAACAAGAACAGCAACGACAAAGACUACCUGCCCUGCCGCCCAAAUCCCAAACCUGGGAUCUGUGGAGACUCUGUGAAUGUAGAAGUGGAUGGGAUAAAUAAUCACUUGAUUCCAUGGCAACCUUUCAUUAAUUUCAAAAGGUGAUCUUAAGAGACUGAGCACAUGAAAAAAAGAUGCUACUGUGCUCAUUCAUUUUGAUCAGAGAAGUCCUCCUGGAUCUCUGUACUGAGUAUGUGAAAGCUCUGCAGCCAUGUAUGUGCAGACUGUAUGCUUGGAGUUGAUAAUUCUUGAUUUGGAGGGGAUUGGUGUGGUUAAUA